UGAAAAUAUAAAUUAGUCAAUUCACAUUGUGAACUCUGUUGAAAUUGAUUAAUUAAAUGCUGAUGAUAGUACUCUGUAAUCUAGACUACAAAUAAUUAUAAAGAUGUGCCAAGAUGAACAAAAUAUUUCAAUAGAGUUAUGCAAUAUGUCAUAACGUCGUCAAGAAAAAAAAAGAAAAAAAAAAAAGAAAGAGAGAUGUAUUGUUUAGAGAAUUUGGGCACGACCAACACUAGAAAGGAAAUAUACCAAUAAAAUAGGUUUAAGUGUUGAAAAUAUUAAAAAGAAAAGCAGUGUAGAGUAAAAGGUAACAUGGAUGGAUAAGAUGCUAAAAAUUUGCUCGAGAUAUGAUUAUCAUAUCAUGCAACAGGAGGAAAUAUUGAAGAAUAGCAAAUUCAUAAAACUAACAACAAAUAGUUGAGAGAAGAUAAAAAUGAUUAUGAUUAUAAUGAUCCAGAAUAUAUGUCUAUAUACUUCGUGGUGAAAUCUCCAUAGAAUAAUACAAAAGUUAUAACAUCAUCAAAGAAAGUAAAAGAGUUUUAUUAACAAAGAGCACUUCGAUAUCACACAUUACAAUUGUACGCUACUGCUUUGGCAUCAAAUUUGAUGGUCUCUCUCCCUCCCUACCUCUCUCAACUUCCAUCACACUCAUUCUCAUUGUUCAUCCUUCCAUCGCACAUCCAAUAACCUCUCUCAGCCAUAGUCCUCACUUUAUAGCCUCUCUCUCUCUCUUUCUCUCUCUCUCUCUCUCUCUCUCUCUCUCUCUCUCUCUCUCUCUCUACCCCCCUCUUUUCUUAGACACCCUUAUGAUGAAUUCUCUGUCUUCGUCGGUCUUCCACCUAUCUUCCACCCCUUUCUUUUGGUAGCCCUUACACUCAUUCUCCUUGUUCAUCCUUCCAACACACAUCCACUUGUCUCUCUCCCUAUUCCACCUCUCUCACUAUGCAUCCUCACUGUGAUAGCCUCUCUUCCCUCCCUCUCUAAACCAUCCUUAAGCUCACUCUUCCUUUGUCUCCUCUUUCUCUUUGGGCCACCACUCACACUCAUUCUCCUCUUGCUUCCCUCCCUCAACUGCCUUUCCUCUUUAAACUAUUCAUCCUCACUCUUAUGAUUUCUCUUCUUUUCUCCACUAUAAAGCAUAGAUAUAGAUAGGUAGUCAAGGACUCAGCACGGCAGAUAUGCAAUGACAUGAAAUAUUUGUUAAAAGUUGCACAUAACAUGUUAUAAACACAAUGAUUAUUAAUAUAAAACAAAAGAUUUAAAGUACUUUUUAUUAAAGAAAUCGAAAGAUGAGGUAUGAUAUCAUAUACAUAUAUCUUACACUUUAUCAGAGCAUGUCAAAGUUGUGUUCGUGUUCGACACAAAAACAUAAAGCAUUUAUAAGUGUCUGUGCUUCAUAGUUAUCCACCUUCUUAACAAAUUUAAUGCUCGCUCACUUCCAUUUCUUUAAUUCCUCUCUUGGCCACCCUCAUAACCACCCCCUCCCUCCUUUAGAGUAUGUCAAAGUUGUAUUUGUGUUCAACACAGAAGCAUAAGGCAAUGGAAGUGUUUGUGUUUUAUAGUUCUCUUGCUUCCCUUCCUCUUUGUGAACACAGAACCCUUCAUUUCCCUUGCUUCCCUUCUUCUAUAAAAACCCUUGCCUUUCUUAACAUUCUUAUCCCUCCCUCCCUUCCUCCAUCUAUCUCUUAACCACCUUUAUUCUCAUUCUUUACUUGCUUCCCUUCCUGUCUCAGCCACCCUCACUAUACUUAUUCUCCUCUUGAUGCCCAACUUCCCACACCCUUGCCUUUCUCACUAUUCAUCCUCACUUUGAUGAUCUCUCUCGCUCCUUAUGUCUCGCAAAUACCCUUAUGCUCACUUUUCCCUUGCAUCCCUUCCUCUCUCAACCACCCUCAUACUUGUUCACCACUUAUUUCCCUACUUCCCUUUUCUCCUUAUCCCCUCACUUUGAUGGUUUCUCUCCCUCAACCCCUUUCUUGAGCACCCCAUACUCACUGCCCCUAUCUCCCUCUUUCCUCAACCCCUUUUCCUCUCUCACCAUUCAUCCUCAUUAUGAUGGUCUCCCUAUCCUUCCAUCUUUUAGACACCCUCACUUCCCUUAUCUCCCUACUUCCUCAACCCUUUUCCUCUCUCACUAUUCAUCCUCAUCAUUAUGGUCUCCCCAUCCUUCCCUCUUUUAUACACCCUCAUGCCCAUUCUUCCCCUUACUCCCUUCAUCUCUUGCUCCACCACUCACUCUCCUCCUACCUCCCUCCUUUGUCAACCCCUUUUUCCAUCUCAUUAUUAAUCCCCACUUUGAUGGCCUUGCUCCAUCCUUGCCUCUCCUAGAUUCCCUCAUGCCCACUUUUCUCAUAUCUCCCUUCCUUUUCACAACCCUUGACCAUUAAUCCUCACUCGGAUGGUUUCUCUCCCUACCCCUUUCACCCCCUUUUCCUCUUUAUUCAUCCUCAUUAUGAUGAUAUCUCUCACUACCCUUCCGUCUCAUAGACAUACUCAUGGCCACACCUGCAAGAAAUCCCUUCUCUCUUGCUCACACCACUCACGCUCCUGCUACCUCCUUCCUUCAACAUCUUUUUCUCUCUCAUUAUUCAUCCCCACUUUGAUGAUUUUUC